GACGAACGCUGGCGGCGUGCCUAAUACAUGCAAGUCGAGCGCAGGAAAUCGACGGAACCCUUCGGGGGGAAGUCGAUGGAAUGAGCGGCGGACGGGUGAGUAACACGUAAAGAACCUGCCCUCAGGUCUGGGAUAACCACGAGAAAUCGGGGCUAAUACCGGAUGGGUCAUCGGACCGCAUGGUCCGAGGAUGAAAGGCGCUUCGGCGUCGCCUGGGGAUGGCUUUGCGGUGCAUUAGCUAGUUGGUGGGGUAAUGGCCCACCAAGGCGACGGUGCAUAGCCGACCUGAGAGGGUGAUGGGCCACACUGGGACGGAGACACGGCCCAGAGUCCUACGGGAGGCAGCAGUAGGGAAUCUUCCACAAUGGACGAAAGUCUGAUGGAGCAACGCCGCGUGAACGAUGAAGGCCUUCGGGUCGUAAAGUUCUGUUGUAAGGGAAGAACAAGUGCCGCAGGCAAUGGCGGCACCUUGACGGUACCUUGCGAGAAAGCCACGGCUAACUACGUGCCAGCAGCCGCCGUAA
rnacentral:rRNA from 1 species